UUAACUCUUAUUUGUAUGGAAUGGGAUCGUUUGCCUGCGUUUGUCGCUAGGGGCGCUGUUCCAACUGCAUACAAAACUGCGUUA
rnacentral:pre_miRNA from 1 species